AAGACUAGUAAUUAUUUCCCCUUAUUUCAUGAUGGACGAAUGUAGUGCGAGUUAUAAAUAGACAAUUUUUCCCUUAAUUUUUUUCUCCCCUCUUCCUGCAUUUUUGGGUUGACUUUUUGGUCUAGAAUUGGAGAAAAGGGAUCAAAUUUGCAAUUUCAUAGCAGUUUUGGGUAAUACUGAUGAUAUUACAGCGGAGGGAUAGGGGGUGUAAAGUGUCUUUCUGCAGAGCAGUCAUUGUGUCGGAAGUGAGAUUUUCACCCCAGUCAACUUCAAAUCCGUGUAGCAAAAAAUCUAAAUGGUCAACCCCCUACAAAAUUAUGAUGAGGAGAUUGCCAAAUGUUGUCCCCAUUGUGCCUAUAAAGAUUGGAACCAACGGAAUGUUGAGAAAAAAGCUACAGCCUGUGAUGUUACAGCCAUUUAACAUUGAAGUCAAUGGGCAAAUAAUUGCUAGUCUGAGUCCUGAUGAGAUAAAGAAACAUGGCCGACUCGGGAUGUUGAUAUUUUUUCAAGGGCUUAUUUCCUGAAGUUUUGAAUGGAAAGUGUCAGAAAUAGUAAGAAUACUGCUUUUUUAUUGCCCAGCAGUGCCAGGGCAAUGUUUCAUAGAGUGGAAUGAUUGACCUCAACACAAGUAUUAAAAAAAAAGAAGCAAAACAGGUCUACAUCUCAAAACCUGAUCUCUUCCUGGACUGGCUUUAGGAGAACGAUGAUGCAUAUCAAUUUCAUCCCUGAUCUCUAUGACACCUGUGGUGGAAGUGGAGGGCAAAUCGUAAUCAGUUUGGGACCUCUGUAAACUUUGCUUUUUGGUGAUGACUUAAUUUCCGAGCUUGAAAAGGACGCUUGUGUGUUUAUCAUGGCCUCUCAUAUUGGAAGAUAACAUUAAUGGCUUGUGUGUUGAUCGACGGUUGUGCAUAUCUCUUGGUCAGGAAAGUUGUAGGCACCAUCGCCAUUGUAAAUCAUUUGACAGGCUCGAGUGAACGGGGCGACCUAUGAUUGGUCAGCAAUGUAUCAGAUUCCAUACCGGGGGGUGGGGAUGAAAAAACUGUUGUAGUGUUACAUAAUCAGAUUAUUUCAACUUACUUAUCCUGUGGAAAUACAGCUAUAUAGGAGAUAUUUUGAAAUUCAUAGGCACUGCAUGUUUCAACAUUUUAGAUUUGACCACAAUUUGGCACUUAAAACUAUGUUAACAGAGAAAAACUGUGUGGUUUUCGAUGAAAGUGUUAAAAGUCUAAUAUUGCAUCAUGAUUACUGUUUUAAAGUAUUUUCGUGUUUGAUUUAUAUUGAAUUCAUCUCAUCUUUUUGAAGAAUGCAUUUAUGUUCAAAAAUAAAAAUGUUCUGUGGAAUUCAAAAUUCAUGUGCUUUUAAAUUAUCAGAUUCCAAACUGGGGGGUAGGGAUGAAAAAGCUGUUGUAGUGUUACAUAAUCAGAUUAUUUCAACUUACUUAUCCUAUGGAAAUACAGCUAUAUAGGAGAUAUUUUAAAAUUGAUAGGCACUGCAUGUUUCAACAUUUUAGAUUUGACCACAAUUUGGCACUUGAAACUACGUUAACAGAGAAAAACUGUGUGGUUUUCGAUGAAAGUGUUAAAAAGUCU